rnacentral:rRNA from 1 species
AGAGUUUGAUCCUGGCUCAGGAUGAACGCUGGCGGCGUGCUUAACACAUGCAAGUCGAACGAACCUUCGGGUUAGUGGCGGACGGGUGAGUAACGCGUGGGAAUCUGCCCUCAGGAGGGGGAUAACGGUUGGAAACGGCCGCUAAUACCCCAUAUGCCGAGAGGUGAAAUGAAUUUCGCCUGAGGAUGAGCCCGCGUCUGAUUAGCUAGUUGGUGAGGUAAUGGCUCACCAAGGCAUCGAUCAGUAGCUGGUCUGAGAGGAUGAUCAGCCACACUGGGACUGAGACACGGCCCAGACUCCUACGGGAGGCAGCAGUGGGGAAUUUUCCGCAAUGGGCGCAAGCCUGACGGAGCAACGCCGCGUGAGGGAUGAAGGCCUCUGGGCUGUAAACCUCUUUUCUCAAGGAAGAAGAUCUGACGGUACUUGAGGAAUAAGCCACGGCUAAUUCCGUGCCAGCAGCCGCGGUAAUACGGGAGUGGCAAGCGUUAUCCGGAAUUAUUGGGCGUAAAGCGUCCGCAGGCGGCUUUUCAAGUCUGCUGUUAAAGCGUGGAGCUUAACUCCAUCAAGGCAGUGGAAACUGAUUGGCUUGAGUGUGGUAGGGGCAGAGGGAAUUCCCGGUGUAGCGGUGAAAUGCGUAGAUAUCGGGAAGAACACCAGUGGCGAAGGCGCUCUGCUGGGCCAUAACUGACGCUCAUGGACGAAAGCCAGGGGAGCGAAAGGGAUUAGAUACCCCUGUAGUCCUGGCCGUAAACGAUGAACACUAGGUGUCGGGGGAAUCGACCCCCUCGGUGUCGUAGCCAACGCGUUAAGUGUUCCGCCUGGGGAGUACGCACGCAAGUGUGAAACUCAAAGGAAUUGACGGGGGCCCGCACAAGCGGUGGAGUAUGUGGUUUAAUUCGAUGCAACGCGAAGAACCUUACCAGGGUUUGACAUCCUGCGAACCUCUAAGAAAUUAGAGGGUGCCUUUGGGAACGCAGUGACAGGUGGUGCAUGGCUGUCGUCAGCUCGUGUCGUGAGAUGUUGGGUUAAGUCCCGCAACGAGCGCAACCCACGUUUUUAGUUGCCAGCAUUCAGUUGGGCACUCUAGAGAGACCGCCGGUGAUAAACCGGAGGAAGGUGUGGAUGACGUCAAGUCAUCAUGCCCCUUACAUCCUGGGCUACACACGUACUACAAUGCUACGGACAAAGGGCAGCGAACUCGCGAGGGCAAGCAAAUCCCAUAAACCGUGGCUCAGUUCAGAUCGUAGGCUGCAACUCGCCUACGUGAAGAAGGAAUCGCUAGUAAUCGCAGGUCAGCAUACUGCGGUGAAUACGUUCCCGGGCCUUGUACACACCGCCCGUCACACCAUGGAAGUUGGCCACGCCCGAAGUCGUUACUCCAACCCUUGUGGAGGAGGACGCCGAAGGUGGGGCUGAUGACUGGGGUGAAGUCGUAACAAGGUAGCCGUACCGGAAGGUGCGGCUG